UCGGGUUAAAGACAGUUUCGUUUUGUCGGUACAUACGAUAAAAUAACGCUGGUUCCCUGCUCUUUGCCGCGCGUAAAUAACCACCGAUGCAUAAAUCAAGCGCGUAACGCACUUUCUAACAGGAGGUCGAGAAAGGGACGAAAGUAUUAUAAUCGUGGGUUAGAAAUUCAAAUGUAGGAUACUUAUCAUCGACUGCCGGAGACCGUAGCUCGUGACGCGAUGCCAGUCAGAGUCGAGAUGAGAUUAUCUUUGCCGACAGGAAACGCCGGAACCUUUGCCCCAAGUUGUACGUAUUUCGUUUCGUUCGUGACGCGUACUGCGAUUAAAUUUAACCGAGCUUUAUAAGCUGGCGGAUUUUCUCUAACGAGGCCGAUUUCGACUAACAGACCAACGAAAGUUGUACCUAAGUGUAUCUAAGCCUGAUCUAACCGCGAGUAAGCUGAUCGUCCAGCUGUAGAACGGGCGUGAAAAGUGCGUUCGAAUUCUGAAAGCGUCAUACACGAUAAUUGGAACGCGCAGUGGAUGGAACGGGGGAAAAAAUGAAAGCGCAGUUAGACGAUGAAUGGUUGGAACAGGCUUGGAACACGAUCAGUGGGUCGAUUUCGUCUACGUAAAGGUUCUCGACGUUGCUCGAGACGUGGCUUCUUAUCGUCGAUACCGUAUAACUAAAGCGGCAGAACAAGGCGCCAUAUUGGGAGACCGAGAGAACGCCUCUACCCCUUUCCUCUGAUAGUACGAGUAGAACAAAGGAAAUACACGAACGCAGACGAUAGUGAAGUGGCUUUCAGUUGAGAUUUAACUGCUGCUGCGAAUUUUACAUAAUUUCUAGGUAAUUUUAGAAACGUUCGAACGUUUAAUCAGAUCGCGAAGCGUUUUAAUAAUAAUCGUUACAGCGUUCGAAUUGCGUCGAAUUUGUUUCACCCUGAACGAUGGUAACAUUUGUAAAGAUGUCGAUGGAACAAUUUAUACCUUUUUAGAUGCGACAUUGUUGUUGUACGUUUUACUAUAAUCGAGUGCGCUUUAAUUAGACUCGAUAUAGAUAGAAGACGUUCGUUGUACGAUAAUAAAGUUGUUAAAAAUAACAAUAA